rnacentral:rRNA from 1 species
UACGUAGGGUGCAAGCGUUGUCCGGAAUUAUUGGGCGUAAAGAGCUCGUAGGCGGUUUGUUGCGUCGGCUGUGAAAUCCCGAGGCUCAACCUCGGGUCUGCAGUCGAUACGAGCAAACUAGAGUGUUGCAGGGGAGACUGGAAUUCCUGGUGUAGCGGUGAAAUGCGCAGAUAUCAGGAGGAACACCGGUGGCGAAGGCGGGUCUCUGGGCAGCAACUGACGCUGAGGAGCGAAAGCGUGGGGAGCAAACAGG